AUUGAACGCUGGCGGCAUGCCUUACACAUGCAAGUCGAACGGUAACAGGUCUUCGGAUGCUGACGAGUGGCGAACGGGUGAGUAAUACAUCGGAACGUGCCUAGUGGUGGGGGAUAACUACUCGAAAGAGUGGCUAAUACCGCAUGAGAUCUACGGAUGAAAGCAGGGGAUCGCAAGACCUUGUGCUACUAGAGCGGCCGAUGGCAGAUUAGGUAGUUGGUGGGAUAAAAGCUUACCAAGCCGACGAUCUGUAGCUGGUCUGAGAGGACGAUCAGCCACACUGGGACUGAGCCACGGCCCAGACUCCUACGGGAGGCAGCAGUGGGGAAUUUUGGACAGUGGGCGCAAGCCUGAUCCAGCAAUGCCGCGUGCAGGAUGAAGGCCUUCGGGUUGUAAACUGCUUUUGUACGGAACGAAAAGCCCUGGGUUAAUACCCUGGGGUCAUGACGGUACCGUAAGAAUAAGCACCGGCUAACUACGUGCCAGCCGCCGCAGUAACAC
rnacentral:rRNA from 1 species